rnacentral:rRNA from 1 species
GAUGAACGCUGGCGGCGUGCCUAAUACAUGCAAGUCGAGCGAACAGACGAGGAGCUUGCUCCUCUGACGUUAGCGGCGGACGGGUGAGUAACACGUGGAUAACCUGCCUAUAAGACUGGGAUAACUUCGGGAAACCGGAGCUAAUACCGGAUAAUAUAUUGAACCGCAUGGUUCAAUAGUGAAAGACGGUUUUGCUGUCACUUAUAGAUGGAUCCGCGCCGCAUUAGCUAGUUGGUAAGGUAACGGCUUACCAAGGCAACGAUGCGUAGCCGACCUGAGAGGGUGAUCGGCCACACUGGAACUGAGACACGGUCCAGACUCCUACGGGAGGCAGCAGUAGGGAAUCUUCAGCAAUGGGCGAAAGCCUGACGGAGCAACGCCGCGUGAGUGAUGAAGGUCUUCGGAUCGUAAAACUCUGUUAUUAGGGAAGAACAAAUGUGUAAGUAACUAUGCACGUCUUGACGGUACCUAAUCAGAAAGCCACGGCUAACUACGUG